rnacentral:rRNA from 1 species
GUAGGAGGCGAGCGUUGUCCGGAAUCAUUGGGCGUAAAGAGCGCGCAGGCGGCUUGGCAAGUCGGGUGUGAAAUCCCGGGGCUCAACCCCGUGACUGCAUCCGAUACUGUCAGGCUAGAGGUAGGUAGGGGAGAUCGGAAUUCCUGGUGUAGCGGUGAAAUGCGCAGAUAUCAGGAGGAACACCGGUGGCGAAGGCGGAUCUCUGGGCCUUACCUGACGCUCAGGCGCGAAAGCUAGGGGAGCGAACAGGAUUAGAUACCCUGGUAGUCCUAGCCGUAAACGUUGGGUGCUAGGUGUGGGCGGAUAUCAACCCCGUCCGUGCCGAAGCUAACGCAUUAAGCACCCCGCCUGGGGAGUACGGCCGCAAGGCUA